UAGAACUUUAGGCUGAGCUUGAUUCAGAGUUGAACUUCCACGGCGUCACAGAGCGUAGACUAGAAACAAUUACCAAGGGCAGAACACUAUGAAGAGUUUCUAGGUCAGUGUUGCUGAGGUAAAUUCUCCAAAGCCUUUUAAUGAAAUCCAAAUAGAGCAAAAUGGACUGCUUUAAACUGAUUACUGUGAGUGUUCAGGACAGGAGUAGAAAGACAAGACCUAGAGGAUAUCUUUGGAGUAGAGAAGAUAAUUUCACAGGCUUUUAAAUACAGUUUCUGUGGCCAAAGAAAAGCGGUGUUUGCUGAUCCCUUAACAUCUUGUGUCUAGAAACUGAUCCUGACUACUAUUGAAAUUCCAGGAUACUAUAUUUUCUUGGUGGUCACAGCUUAAACUCAGUAAAUUCCUUAUGACCAAGUUAUUUUGCACAGAAUAUAUAACACAAAGAAUGAACACUAAUGUCAACUAUGGAGUUUGGGUGAUAAUGAUGUGUCCAUAUUCAUUUAACAACUGUAACAAAUGCAGCAUUCUGGUUGACUAUAAGGAUGGCUGAGUGUGUUUUAAGGAGAUGAGGAGCGCCACAAUGGCUUGCUAAGGAGGAACAAAUGGUCUUGCUGAUGAGAUAUACAGUGCUUGACACAUUUUCCACCAGUGGGAGCUACAUCGAAAGAUGAAGUGAGGCACUUGAGGAGGAGACUCCAAGCUUGACUCAACAUACAAGGGUAAGGGAUGUCAUUUAUUGCUCCUGAUGUGGAACCAGUGGGGACAGGGGUUUUGAGGGACUGUAGACAUGGAACAAUCUGGCUGAUUAUACAACAGUGAUAAAUGCCUUAACAAAGCAUGCAUCGGAAUUAGAAAUG
rnacentral:lncRNA from 1 species